UACGAAGGGGGCUAGCGUUGUUCGGAAUUACUGGGCGUAAAGCGCGCGCAGGCGGUCUUCCAAGUCAGUGGUGAAAGCCCGGAGCUCAACUCCGGAAUUGCCAUUGAAACUGUUAGACUUGAGGAUGAGAGAGGUGAGUGGAAUUCCCAGUGUAGAGGUGAAAUUCGUAGAUAUUGGGAAGAACACCGGUGGCGAAGGCGGCUAUCUGGACCGACAUUGACGCUGAUGCGCGAAAGCGUGGGGAGCAAACAGG
rnacentral:rRNA from 1 species